CAGCACCUCAAGUGGUCAGGAUGGUUAUUGGGCCUAAAGCAUCCGUAGCCUGCUUUGUUAGUUUUCGGUUAAAUCCAUACGCUCAACGUAUGGGCUGCCGGGAAUACUGCAAAGCUAGGGAGUGGGAGAGGUAGACGGUACUCGGUAGGAAGGGGUAAAAUCCUUUGAUCUAUUGAUGACCACCUGUGGCGAAGGCGGUCUACCAGAACACGUCCGACGGUGAGGGAUGAAAGCUGGGGGAGCAAACCGGAUUAGAUACCCGAGUAGUCC
rnacentral:rRNA from 1 species